UUACCGUGAAUACGUUCCCGGGUCUUGUACACACCGCCCGUCAAACCAUGAAAGUCACCAAUACCUGACGUCUGCGCUAGUCGCGGCCCAAGGUAGGGGGAUAAUUGGGGUU
rnacentral:rRNA from 1 species